UACGUAGGUGGCAAGCGUUGUCCGGAAUUAUUGGGCGUAAAGCGCGCGCAGGUGGUUUCUUAAGUCUGAUGUGAAAGCCCACGGCUCAACCGUGGAGGGUCAUUGGAAACUGGGGAACUUGAGUGCAGAAGAGGAAAGUGGAAUUCCAAGUGUAGCGGUGAAAUGCGUAGAGAUUUGGAGGAACACCAGUGGCGAAGGCGACUUUCUGGUUCGAUUCUGACGCUGAGGUACGAAAGCGUGGGGAGCAAACAGG
rnacentral:rRNA from 1 species